UACGUAGGGCGCAAGCGUUAUCCGGAAUUAUUGGGCGUAAAGAGCUCGUAGGCGGUUUGUCGCCGUCUGCCGUGAAAGUCCGGGGCUCAACUCCGGAUCUGCGGUGGGUACGGGCAGACUAGAGUGAUGUAGGGGAGACUGGAAUUCCUGGUGUAGCGGUGAAAUGCGCAGAUAUCAGGAGGAACACCGAUGGCGAAGGCAGGUCUCUGGGCAUUAACUGACGCUGAGGAGCGAAAGCAUGGGGAGCGAACAGG
rnacentral:rRNA from 1 species